UGGGUUGUAGCCUAAUGGAAAGGCAAUUGGCCGUUAACCAGGAGAUAACAAGAUCAAUACUUGUCAACUCAG
rnacentral:ncRNA from 11 species